rnacentral:lncRNA from 1 species
AUGGCCAGCAGAGUGUCAAUCCACAAGAGGGAAGAAGGGGGUCUGGUUCAGUAUGACUCCAUGGCUAGUGUUGGUUCAGACUUUGAGAGUUUGACACCAUGUAGUUUAUCCCACAGGCAACUGGUUCCAUUGCUGUGGGCUUAACGAAGGGCUGAAUGUUAUGACGAAGAGCAAAGCAGCUCACCUUGAAGCAGACAGGAAGCAAAGAGGAAGGUCAUGCACAUCAUUUCAGAGCAUGCUAUGUUGACUGACUCCCCUUUGACCAGCAGUCACAUCUCCUGCUUUCUACCAACUCCCCAAAUACCAAGGUACUGUGAAUUCACCUGAUCAGAGCUUCCGAGCCCUUAGGCCUCAAUUACUUCCUAAACUAAGCAACAAUACCACUACUAAAGAAGCCUG